AKARUUUUGAUCCUGGCUCAGGACGAACGCUGGCGGCGUGCUUAACACAUGCAAGUCGAACGAUGACGGUGGUGCUUGCACCACCUGAUUAGUGGCGAACGGGUGAGUAACACGUGAGUAACCUGCCCCCCACUUCGGGAUAACCUCGGGAAAUCGUGGCUAAUACCGGAUAYGAGCACUCAUCGCAUGGUGGGUGCUGGAAAGAUUUAUCGGUGGGGGAUGGACUCGCGGCCUAUCAGUUUGUUGGUGAGGUGAUGGCUCACCAAGACGAUGACGGGUAGCCGGCCUGAGAGGGCGACCGGCCACACUGGGACUGAGACACGGCCCAGACUCCUACGGGAGGCAGCAGUGGGGAAUAUUGCACAAUGGGCGAAAGCCUGAUGCAGCGACGCCGCGUGGGGGAUGACGGCCUUCGGGUUGUAAACCCCUUUCAGUAGGGAAGAAGCGAGAGUGACGGUACCUGCAGAAGAAGCGCCGGCUAACUACGUGCCAGCAGCCGCGGUAAUACGUAGGGCGCAAGCGUUGUCCGGAAUUAUUGGGCGUAAAGAGCUUGUAGGUGGCUUGUCGCGUCUGCCGUGAAAACCCGAGGCUCAACCUCGGGCGUGCGGUGGGUACGGGCAGGCUAGAGUGUGGUAGGGGAGACUGGAACUCCUGGUGUAGCGGUGAAAUGCGCAGAUAUCAGGAAGAACACCGAUGGCGAAGGCAGGUCUCUGGGCCAUUACUGACACUGAGAAGCGAAAGCAUGGGUAGCGAACAGGAUUAGAUACCCUGGUAGUCCAUGCCGUAAACGUYGGKCACUAGGUGUGGGGRACAUUCCACGUUUUCCGCGCCGUAGCUAACGCAUUAA
rnacentral:rRNA from 1 species